ensembl:lncRNA
UGAUACGUGAAAGCACAGAAAGGUAAAACUCUUAUUGGUUAGUAAACUAACACAUCACCAUCAUUGGUCAGUGGGGUUCACCACCCCUCGACCUUCUCUUGCCAGAAAACAAGGAACAGACAAACAGCACCUGCAAGGCUGUUUUCUAUCUCUGAGGAUUGUUUUAAUUCCUCCUUAUGAUUUCCCAGGCCACUUUCUCAGGCGAGACUGAGAAAAUUAUGUGGCCUGCUAUUCCACAAGCAUUGUGCUCCCUGCUUCACAGUUAGCAUCCAUAGUAAAGCACUUCAAUUGUUCCACUAUGACCUUAAGGAAAGUAUCUGACUCCUCAAAUCAUGCUGCUAUUGAUUGCUCUUCCUUGGUCGUUCAGGGUAAGCAGACUGUCUCCAAACCUCACAGCAGGCAGAUCUAAGUCUGGUCAACUGCAUUUGCUGCCACAAGAGAAGCAAGACAAGUGCCUCACCCCAGGAUGAGUUCUGAUGGUGGCUGCUGGAGGAAAAACAGGAAGAGUGCUAGGGUUGAAGGCUGACAAUCCUGAGAACAGGAGGACAUGCAAAGCUUGGAAGAAGCCUUGGUAUAUGUACCACAGUACCACCAGGACACCUCAAGAGUUUGGCAGAAAUGUGCCAAUUAUUGCUUCUGCUGAGGCUGAAACCAAAGCUGAAGUCAGUUCCAGUUUGACAGCCUGGUGUAUAACCAUGAGGUCAUCUGCCCUCCAGAGCCAGUGGAGCUUGAAAACUCAUCUUCCUAAUCUUCUGCAGAUAGUUAUCUUCAUUUGACUGGCUGAUUUUCAAAGACACACAGGACAAGUAUAUAGGUGCUUAUUACUUCCCACUUCUAGAGAAGUGUAUUGAAGCAUAUCUAAAUGCAUUGAAGAUUUAUACUGUGCACCAUCUUAUAUUAUAGAACCACAUAUUUUUUAAGGAACUGAUUUU